AUGUGUUGUAUACUGUGGAAGUGCAUUUCACUGGGACUGGAUAGCAGACAAGAAUGUUGAGCUUUUGUGCAACAAGUCUACCAGUAACUUGCAUGCAUGUACAAGUUAGGCCCAGUACAUAAGAUGAGCGACAGUGUCACCAAGCAGUACAUAGAGGAUUACUGCAUCAACAGAAUACGACGUGGCGAUAUCGAUCUGGAGAGCUACCGACAUGUGAGCCGGGAGCCCUUCAACAUGGUGGCCAGAAGAAUGCGGGAAAUAGGUGAAGAAAUAGAAAGCAAGAAUCCCGAAUUCUUUGCAGGAUGCUGCGAGCAGCUUCAAAUCAGCGAAACAACAGCAUAUGCAAAGUUCAAGGAUCUCGCAGAUGAACUCUUUAAGGACCAAGAAAAUGGGCAGAGGGGGACAUGUAUGUCCUGGGGCAGAAUAGCAGCCUUUAUCACAUUCAGUGGCCGACUGGCCUUGCACUGUGCAUCCAAUAACAUGGAGACGUUAGUCCCUAGUGUCAUCGGUUGGACGUCCAGAUAUAUUGACACCAAGUUGGUUGCGUGGAUAAACGACCACCAAGGCUGGGAUGGAUUUGCCAAAUUCUUUGACGACGACAAAGCAAGGGAGAAGGCGUUAAGCGACACGGUCACCGAUAUUGUGACGUCCGUGUGCCAAUUUGCAGUGGUUGGUGCCGGACUGGCCGCACUCGCUUGCUUGCUGAAGAGAUAGGGCACGAGGCCAGGCCCCCUGGCGUGUAGGGAGGGGGGCCAAAGGUCAAGGAACGGCUUUCUGGAGUUCUUUGACAAGAAUCGAGUAAGGGCAAUGGAAGACGAACUCUUGAGCAAUGUCAUCGGCACAGCGUUAACGUA
rnacentral:misc_RNA from 1 species